AGUCGACGAACACUUCAUCGAUUUCUUCGGAAUGAAGUUUUAGUGACUGAGUGGCGGACGGGUGAGUAACGCGUGGGUAACCUGCCUCACACAGGGGGAUAACAGUUGGAAACGGCUGCUAAUACCGCAUAAGCGCACAGUACCGCAUGGUACGGUGUGAAAAACUCCGGUGGUGUGAGAUGGACCCGCGUCUGAUUAGCUAGUUGGCAGGGCAACGGCCUACCAAGGCGACGAUCAGUAGCCGACCUGAGAGGGUGACCGGCCACAUUGGGACUGAGACACGGCCCAAACUCCUACGGGAGGCAGCAGUGGGGAAUAUUGCACAAUGGGGGAAACCCUGAUGCAGCGACGCCGCGUGAGCGAAGAAGUAUUUCGGUAUGUAAAGCUCUAUCAGCAGGGAAGAAGAAAUGACGGUACCUGACUAAGAAGCACCGGCUAAAUACGUGCCAGCAGCCGCGGUAAUACGUAUGGUGCAAGCGUUAUCCGGAUUUACUGGGUGUAAAGGGAGCGCAGGCGGAAGGCUAAGUCUGAUGUGAAAGCCCGGGGCUCAACCCCGGUACUGCAUUGGAAACUGGUCAUCUAGAGUGUCGGAGGGGUAAGUGGAAUUCCUAGUGUAGCGGUGAAAUGCGUAGAUAUUAGGAGGAACACCAGUGGCGAAGGCGGCUUACUGGACGAUAACUGACGCUGAGGCUCGAAAGCGUGGGGAGCAAACAGGAUUAGAUACCCUGGUAGUCCACGCC
rnacentral:rRNA from 1 species